rnacentral:lncRNA from 1 species
CGCCCUCAACCAGCAGCCACCGGCGAGCAGGAAAAAUGGGUAUGACAGCCCCUUCGUGGCCCGUUUUGGCUGCCUUCCCGAGCCGGAUGCUCGGCCCGCUUUAAGGAAAGUCGAUCCUCGCGUCGUCCUCGUCGUUUUGGUCCGCUCGGCUCGCUAAUCCGGUGAGUUUAGCUCACUAAACCUCGCUUAGAGGGUUAAUUAUGCUUUAGGUGUGCUUAGCUUAGGUUGAUUAAGCUUAUGUGGUUAAUUUAGUUGAUUUAAUUAUGAUUUAGAUUAAGAUGUUUGUUUAAUCUAAAGUAUGUUUAAUUAAAUGCUAAGAGAGUUUAUUUAAAGUUAAGCCUUGAUGUGACACAAAAUGAUUUUUAUUUUGAAUUAUUUAAGUGCUUCGAAAUUCUGGAAAAUAUUAUAUUAUAUUAUAAUCCGAAAUUAUUAAAAUAUUAUUAUUUAUAAAAAAAAACAGAAAAAUUAUUUUUGACCCCGGUUGCUCAGAAUUUCGCGCCGAUCGCUGCUGUGUAGUCAGAUUUUGAAAUUGAUAAUUGGAUAUUAUAAAUUGAGUGUGGAUUGUGAAAAGUAUGGAUUUUAUUUAGAAAAUUCCAAGUGUCGAGUUUGGCAUUGAAAUUGGAUUGUUAAUGGUUAAUAUCGUAAUUGGAUUAUGUGAGUGAAAGGUAAAGUAUCCAAGGAUCGGUAUCGAAUUGUCGUGUGCUAGUUGAAAGGCUCGGGUCGCAGUAGUGGCUAGGCCGACUGGAUCCUUAUUCUUCUAGAAAUGCCGUCAAGAGAAUGACGUGGCUUGGUCGCAGUAGUGGCGAGACCGACUGGACCAUUAUUAUUCUAGAAAUGCCGUCAAGAGAAUAACGUGGCUUGGUCGCAGUAGUGGCGAGACCGACUGGACCUUUAUUCUUCUAGAAAUGCUGUCGAUAGAACGACGUGGCGGGUCGCAGUAGUGGCUAGGCCGACUGGAUCCUUAUUCUUCUAGAAAUGCCGUCAAGAGAAUGACGUGGCUUGGUCGCAGUAGUGGCGAGACCGACUGGACCAUUAUUAUUCUAGAAAUGCCGUCAAGAGAAUAACGUGGCUUGGUCGCAGUAGUGGCGAGACCGACUGGACCUUUAUUCUUCUAGAAAUGCUGUCGAUAGAACGACGUGGCAUGGUCGCAGUAGUGGCGAGACCGACUGGACCUUUAUUCUUCUAGAAAUGCUGUAAUAUUAGUAGAUAGCCGACCGGCGAAUAGGCUGUACUCUUGUGUGGCAGUGGAUAAUGAUGACAUGGAAUGCUUGCUGUGAUUGUGAAAUUAAGUGAAAUUGAUUGUGUUUCGAUGGCUUACAUUCUUAUCAUUACUGGUGCUUGAAUGAUAUGAAUUGUAAUAACCUGCAGGAAGGCAAGAAGGCGAGGUAAGUCUUCAGUGCUGUGUGGCUAGACCACUCUGGGGCGUAUUUUCUUUCUACUAAGGGUUUAGGGGGUUGAACUUGCUGAGACGUUGUCUCAGUAGUUAUUGAAUAACCAUUUCAGGUCCCUGGUGGACGGAGCGGCCAGAUAGCUUUGGUUGGCCUUGAGGAGUUGCAGAGGUGAAGCCAUAAGGAUUGGAGAGCGUGUCCGAUUUGUAGGUCGUAGGACAGUUCCUUUUUAAGAGCCGG